rnacentral:rRNA from 1 species
CCUCUUCGGAGGCAGUGGCAGACGGGUGAGUAACGCGUGGGAACAUACCUUUCGGUACGGAACAACAGUUGGAAACGACUGCUAAUACCGUAUACGCCCUGAGGGGGAAAGAUUUAUCGCCGAGAGAUUGGCCCGCGUUGGAUUAGCUAGUUGGUGGGGUAAUGGCCUACCAAGGCGACGAUCCAUAGCUGGUCUGAGAGGAUGAUCAGCCACACUGGGACUGAGACACGGCCCAGACUCCUACGGGAGGCAGCAGUGGGGAAUAUUGGACAAUGGGCGCAAGCCUGAUCCAGCCAUGCCGCGUGAGUGAUGAAGGCCUUAGGGUUG